rnacentral:rRNA from 1 species
GGGUUGUGAGGUUAAGCGACUAAGCGUACACGGUGGAUGCCCUGGCAGUCAGAGGCGAUGAAGGACGUGCUAAUCUGCGAAAAGCGUCGGUAAGGUGAUAUGAACCGUUACAGCCGGCGAUGUCCGAAUGGGGAAACCCAGUGCAAUUCGUUGCACUAUCGUUAACUGAAUACAUAGGUUAACGAGGCGAACCGGGGGAACUGAAACAUCUAAGUACCCCGAGGAAAAGAAAUCAACCGAGAUUCCCCCAGUAGCGGCGAGCGAACGGGGAGCAGCCCAGAGUCUGAAUCAGCUUGUGUGUUAGUGGAACGGUCUGGAAAGUCCGACGGUACAGGGUGAUAGUCCCGUACACCAAAAUGCACAGGUUGUGAACUCGAAGAGUAGGGCGGGACACGUGGUAUCCUGUCUGAAUAUGGGGGGACCAUCCUCCAAGGCUAAAUACUCCUGACUGACCGAUAGUGAACCAGUACCGUGAGGGAAAGGCGAAAAGAACCCCGGCGAGGGGAGUGAAAAAGAACCUGAAACCGUGUACGUACAAGCAGUGGGAGCACCUUCGGGUGUGACUGCGUACCUUUUGUAUAAUGGGUCAGCGACUUAUAUUCUGUAGCAAGGUUAACCGUAUAGGGGAGCCGCAGGGAAACCGAGUCUUAACUGGGCGUUAAGUUGCAGGGUAUAGACCCGAAACCCGGUGAUCUAGCCAUGGGCAGGUUGAAGGUUGGGUAACACUAACUGGAGGACCGAACCGACUAAUGUUGAAAAAUUAGCGGAUGACUUGUGGCUGGGGGUGAAAGGCCAAUCAAACCGGGAGAUAGCUGGUUCUCCCCGAAAGCUAUUUAGGUAGCGCCUCGUGAAUUCAUCUUCGGGGGUAGAGCACUGUUUCGGCUAGGGGGUCAUCCCGACUUACCAACCCGAUGCAAACUACGAAUACCGAAGAAUGUUAUCACGGGAGACACACGGCGGGUGCUAACGUCCGUCGUGAAGAGGGAAACAACCCAGACCGCCAGCUAAGGUCCCAAAGUCACAGUUAAGUGGGAAACGAUGUGGGAAGGCACAGACAGCCAGGAUGUUGGCUUAGAAGCAGCCAUCAUUUAAAGAAAGCGUAAUAGCUCACUGGUCGAGUCGGCCUGCGCGGAAGAUGUAACGGGGCUAAACUGUGCACCGAAGCUGCGGCAGCGACACUAUGUGUUGUUGGGUAGGGGAGCGUUCUGUAAGCCUGCGAAGGUGGCCUGUGAGGGUUGCUGGAGGUAUCAGAAGUGCGAAUGCUGACAUAAGUAACGAUAAUGCGGGUGAAAAGCCCGCACGCCGGAAGACCAAGGGUUCCUGUCCAACGUUAAUCGGGGCAGGGUGAGUCGACCCCUAAGGCGAGGCCGAAAGGCGUAGUCGAUGGGAAACAGGUUAAUAUUCCUGUACUUGGUGUUACUGCGAAGGGGGGACGGAGAAGGCUAUGUUAGCCGGGCGACGGUUGUCCCGGUUUAAGCAUGUAGGCGGAGGUUCCAGGUAAAUCCGGUACCUUUUAACGCUGAGGUGUGAUGACGAGGCACUACGGUGCUGAAGUAACAAAUGCCCUGCUUCCAGGAAAAGCCUCUAAGCAUCAGGUAACAUUAAAUCGUACCCCAAACCGACACAGGUGGUCAGGUAGAGAAUACCAAGGCGCUUGAGAGAACUCGGGUGAAGGAACUAGGCAAAAUGGUGCCGUAACUUCGGGAGAAGGCACGCUGAUAUGUAGGUGAAGCCCCUGCGGGUGGAGCUGAAAUCAGUCGAAGAUACCAGCUGGCUGCAACUGUUUAUUAAAAACACAGCACUGUGCAAACACGAAAGUGGACGUAUACGGUGUGACGCCUGCCCGGUGCCGGAAGGUUAAUUGAUGGGGUUAUCCGUAAGGAGAAGCUCUUGAUCGAAGCCCCGGUAAACGGCGGCCGUAACUAUAACGGUCCUAAGGUAGCGAAAUUCCUUGUCGGGUAAGUUCCGACCUGCACGAAUGGCGUAAUGAUGGCCAGGCUGUCUCCACCCGAGACUCAGUGAAAUUGAACUCGCUGUGAAGAUGCAGUGUACCCGCGGCAAGACGGAAAGACCCCGUGAACCUUUACUAUAGCUUGACACUGAACAUUGAGCCUUGAUGUGUAGGAUAGGUGGGAGGCUUUGAAGCGUGGACGCCAGUCUGCGUGGAGCCAACCUUGAAAUACCACCCUUUAAUGUUUGAUGUUCUAACGUUGGCCCCUAAUCGGGGUUGCGGACAGUGUCUGGUGGGUAGUUUGACUGGGGCGGUCUCCUCCCAAAGAGUAACGGAGGAGCACGAAGGUUAGCUAAUCCUGGUCGGACAUCAGGAGGUUAGUGCAAUGGCAUAAGCUAGCUUGACUGCGAGCGUGACGGCGCGAGCAGGUGCGAAAGCAGGUCAUAGUGAUCCGGUGGUUCUGAAUGGAAGGGCCAUCGCUCAACGGAUAAAAGGUACUCCGGGGAUAACAGGCUGAUACCGCCCAAGAGUUCAUAUCGACGGCGGUGUUUGGCACCUCGAUGUCGGCUCAUCACAUCCUGGGGCUGAAGUAGGUCCCAAGGGUAUGGCUGUUCGCCAUUUAAAGUGGUACGCGAGCUGGGUUUAGAACGUCGUGAGACAGUUCGGUCCCUAUCUGCCGUGGGCGCUGGAGAAUUGAGGGGGGCUGCUCCUAGUACGAGAGGACCGGAGUGGACGCAUCACUGGUGUUCGGGUUGUCAUGCCAAUGGCAUUGCCCGGUAGCUAAAUGCGGAAGAGAUAAGUGCUGAAAGCAUCUAAGCACGAAACUUGCCCCGAGAUGAGUUCUCCCUGAGACUUAAAGUCUCCUGAAGGAACGUUAAAGACGAUGACGUUGAUAGGUCGGGUGUGUAAGCGUAGCGAUACGUUGAGCUAACCGAUACUAAUGAACCGUGAGGCUUAACCUUACAACGCCGAAGGUGUUU